CGAACGCUGGCGGCGUGCUUAACACAUGCAAGUCGAACGGAAAGGCCCUUCGGGGUGCUCGAGUGGCGAACGGGUGAGUAACACGUGGGUGAUCUGCCCUGCACUUUGGGAUAAGCCUGGGAAACUGGGUCUAAUACCGAAUAUGACCGCAUGCUUCAUGGUGUGUGGUGGAAAGCUUUUGCGGUGUGGGAUGGGCCCGCGGCCUAUCAGCUUGUUGGUGGGGUAAUGGCCUACCAAGGCGACGACGGGUAGCCGGCCUGAGAGGGUGACCGGCCACACUGGGACUGAGAUACGGCCCAGACUCCUACGGGAGGCAGCAGUGGGGAAUAUUGCACAAUGGGCGCAAGCCUGAUGCAGCGACGCCGCGUGGGGGAUGACGGCCUUCGGGUUGUAAACCUCUUUCAGCACAGACGAAGCGUGAGUGACGGUAUGUGCAGAAGAAGCACCGGCCAACUACGUGCCAGCAGCC
rnacentral:rRNA from 1 species